GACAUUACUGUUUACCCCUAGGAAUGGUUCUCAUCACCUUGGAUACAUUUCAUGCCAAAAGUGUUACUGCAGUAAUCACGACUAUUGACUAUACAGUAUACUGAUAAGAGACAUGUUUUCUUUUGGAAUGAAUUGCCAAUGCCUAGCUUUCAUUGUUUUUAGGUUUUUUCUUUUUUUUAAGAAGUAUAAUACAUAUAUCACCAUUUCCUUUGUUUGGACACAUAUAUUUAUAAUCUUAUUUACAUUUUAUUAUUAAUUUUUUUGUUUGAAUGAAAAAUUGUAGUUUAACAAGACAUGACGGAAUUAAGUUAAAUAAAAAGUUAUAGAACAUUAUUAAGUUUCAAUUCAAACCACUAGGAAAUGUUUUUCAUUAGGGUGUUUCCAUCGCUGAUAUAUUCAAGUUCUUGUGUCACACAGUAUAGGAACUAGUAAGAUAUUCUGAAUGUAAGUAAAUACAUUCACUGAUUUUAAUAAUGAUAAAAGCUUCAAAGUUGUCAAUGUAUUUAUAAAGUAGCAAUAUGAAUUUCAUUACACUGUCAAUUACAUGUAAUAUGAACAGUAGUUAAUGUAGUUUUUCUAUUGUAUACCCCAUGUUUAAUACAAGCAAGCAGUAGAUGUUUAAAGCAUGUUUUCUUCAUGACAAUUUUAUUUUUUAUUUCAUAGCAUUGUUGAGAAUUUGUAAUUUGUUAAAGUCAUCAUUUUGAUCUCUCUUCAGUGAAUUAAAAUAUCCAUUUUAAAGUUACAUGUUUGAAAUGUAACGAAGUGUAUUUUUAUGAAGCUAUAAAAGAUUAAAGUGAUUUUUUUCCGUUGAUUAAUUGUAAUGUAAUUUUGUAUAUAAUUAUGGCAUUAAAUGAAAUUGAGGAAAACUUGUUUUUAUGAAUGAGAUAUGGCAUAUGAGGUGCUUGUUUGUAUGUGCUGGUGUACAUAUCUCCAUAUCUUUCAUAGUGUUUGUGUACUAUAUUUAUAUCCGGUAUACCAUUGUGAUGUCAUGCAUUGGUGUUUAUGAUUUUUUUUCCUGUACAUUGAAGUUUCAAACCAUGAUGUACAUGAAGCAGAAUAAAAUACUG
rnacentral:misc_RNA from 1 species